CUGGAGUUUACACAGCAAACCCCAGCGGGGCCUCCACACAGCUUAGACAAAGCGCGCCCUGCCCUCUCACUUCCCUCCCGGCUCCUCCCUGCUUCUCCCCAAAGACCCACAAUAAGAUAAUACAACAAUCCGGCCACGACUCGUGCCCAGCCUACGAGAGUGCAAAACAGGCCCUCGCGUUGUCACCACCAAAUGCCUGGCACAUAAAGAGAAGGGGUCUCCUCUUCGCCAGCGCUGCAGAGGGCUAUAUCCUGAAUCCAGACCCCCGGGAAAGCAUCAGAAAGGAGACAUGGAUGAGAGCGACAUUUUGCCCAUUGCCUAGCUCCAGGAAGGCAUCAGGGUCCCAGACUGCAAAGGGAAAACUAUUGCCCAGACCAGAGUGGUUUCCUCUCCCAGUUGUGCCUUCACCCUCCGCACUCUGACAGGCAG